CUUUCUUAAUAAAGGAGACUUGAUCAGCACCUUGUUUUGUCUACACUGUUUGUCCCUUCUCUCACUCCCUCCCCCAGGAAACUGUUCGACUGUCCUGCGGGCUGGAACACAUGGUGACUGAACAGGGACCUGAGUAUGAGGGUUCCAGUGAAGAGCACUGGAAUAAAGAAAGCCGCAGCAGAAAACAGAAGAGGACUGACGGCAGAGAAUGGUCCCAGAAACUGUUCAACUGUCCAGUGGGCUGGGACAAUGUGGCACAUACAAGUAUGAAAUAUAUGCUGCAGAAAAAUGAUUAAUAUGUGCCUUACUGGCGGUCACGACCUCCCCACGAGAACAUGCCUCUCACAAAGGACUUCCUUCAUUCCCUGUCCAAAAGAGAAGAGGAAACACAAGAAGCACCUGGUGCAGAGCCCAAAUUCCUGCUUCAUGGACAUGAAGUGCCCAGGAUGCUAUAAAAUCACCACAGUCUUUAGCCAUGCAAACAGUAGUUCUGUGUGUUGUCUGUUCCACUUUCCUCUGCUAGCCUACAGGAGGAAAAGCAAGGCUUACAGAAGGAUGUUCCUUCAGGAGGAAGAAGCACUAAAAGCAUCCUAACUCAAGAUGAGUGGGAAACCAUCCUAAUAAACACAUUUUGGAU